AACCUGCCUGGUAGCGGGGGAUAACUAUUGGAAACGAUAGCUAAUACCGCGUAAGAGUAGAUGUUGCAUGACAUUUGCUUGAAAGGUGCAAUUGCAUCACUACCAGAUGGACCUGCGUUGUAUUAGCUAGUUGGUGAGGUAACGGCUCACCAAGGCAACGAUACAUAGCCGACCUGAGAGGGUGAUCGGCCACACUGGGACUGAGACACGGCCCAG
rnacentral:rRNA from 1 species